UUAUAUCCUCAUUCACGAAGCUUUAAGAACAGACAAGUGGUUGGCAUGAGCUUCUGACUGAAUGAGUCAGUGAUGUUUUGUGUCCUGCAUUAUUUCUGGAACUACAUUCAGUUUCUAUUCGAUACAGUUUCUGAAACGUCUGUGUUGUUCAGUGAUUAUUCAUCAGAAAACUUCAGGUUCUUACACAGUGAUGUACUAAAAGAACAUGAUAUCUAAUGAGUAAAGAGCAGUUAUGGGCUUGACAGCAUGAAACACAGCUGGAGUCUUACAGUGAGCUUUUUCUCUUCAUGGCUAUUCCUCUGGGAAUCGUUUUAUGUCUCUAGUGGGCGUGCCAUGCAAACCAAAUCCUGUGUUUGAACCAUUUAUGCUGAUAUACAUUCAGCUAAACAACACACCAGCAGUUUGUGUUCAUUUACAGCAACAGUGAUCAUUUUAAUUCUUUGAGAUGGGACUAGGCAGAGUUUUGAGUUACUUUACUCUAGCAAUCUUCAUUCAAUAUUCCUGCAGUCAGACACUGAUCGAGUCUGAUUCAGUCAUCAUCAAACCUGAUCAGUCUCAUAAACUGACCUGCACAGCAUCUGGAUUGGACGUUAGUGGCUACUGGAUGGCUUGGAUCAGACAGGCUCCUGGAAAAGGACUGGAAUUUGUUGCAACUAACUAUAGCAGUAGUAGCAUAUAUUACUCCAGUGCAGUUAAAGGCCGCUUCACCAUCUCCAGAGACGACAGUAAGAUGCAGGUGUAUCUGCACAUGAACAGCGUGAGGACAGAAGACACAGCUGUGUAUUACUGCGCCCGUGACCCACAGUGAUACUUCUCCUUAGACAUCAGUACAAAAACACAUGCUUGCUAUAGUCACAUGACAAGCUCACAUUUUCAUAAGCAGUGUAUUCAUGGAGCUCAAAGAUCCAAAAUGUUUUGACUUUUACUGCAUGUGGCUUAUUGUGAACAUUGUCUGGACAUUUAUGCUGGUAUAAGAUUACUUAGGUCAGAGUCAGUUCUGAAUAUAUAUAUAUAUGGUACAGAGGGUAAUGUUGCCACCUCACAGCUUCAGGGCCCUCGGUUUGAUCCUGGUCAUACAAAAUGCUCCACAUUAUAAUUCUUACUUUUUUUACUUAGUACUUUAGCUCUAUUUGAGUUUUUUUUUUUAACAAGUUGCUUUAAAAUCACUUCUUUUAGAUCUGAGUAUUUUGAAAACUGGACCUUUGUGCCUCUAGAGGGCAGUCUGUGCAAACUCAACCAUCUCAGUCUGUUGCUAUCUGCACUUUUAGGCCCCGUCUCUUUUCACAGGCUGCUAUGACUGCAUCCAGCACCAUGACUCUCAGAUUAAACUCCAGGAAGAUAAUUGCUUGUUGUUGCUUAUAUCAUUACUUUUGCAGAGUCUUGUGAGACAAAAUAUAAUUAAAUAAAUGCAAUGCUAUUCCUUUUUAUCUUCAUUCUACAUUUAUUCUUUAUCCAAUCAGAAUGAGUCAGAGAUGAUGUGUGGUCUACAUUAUUUCUGUAACCAUAUUAAUUAAUCAAAAAACAUUAAUGUCUUUGUGUAUAGUUCUGUGCUAUAGAAGCAGAUAUGGUAAUGGGGCAAAAUAGCUCCUAAAGGCUUAACUGUAAAACACAGCUCGAGUCUUGCAAUAAACAUUUGCCCUUUAAUGGCUAUUUCUGUAAUGUUUUUAUAUCUCUAUUUCUAAUGCAGAUUAAGCGCCAUGUUUAAACCACAUAUGCUGAUAUAUUCAGGAAAUGAAUUCAUUUAGAGAAGGUGCUAUUUUUAUUCCUUGAGAUGCAUCUGAGGAGAGUUUUGAGCUGAUGUUGCUGCAUCACUGAGCAUUCAUUUUUGGUUUCACUCUUUAUUAAAUUUAUUCUUUUAUUAUUUAUUAAUUUAUAUAAGUAUAUAUAUAUUUAUAUUUAUAAAAGUAUAAGACCUGUCUCUGAAUGUUAUUGCAUUUCAGAUUCAUGCAGUCAGACACUGAUUGAAGCAGAUACA